GCCUUCGUGGUGUAGUGGUCAGCACGCUCGGCAUGUAUUCGAGAGGCCGUGGUUUGAUUCCCAAUGAGGGCA
rnacentral:tRNA from 1 species